rnacentral:rRNA from 1 species
AUUGAACGCUGGCGGCAGGCCUAACACAUGCAAGUCGAACGAGUGGCGGACGGGUGAGUAAUGUCUGGGACACUGCCUGAUGGAGGGGGAUAACUACUGGAAACGGUAGCUAAUACCGCAUACCCUCGGAUGUGCCCAGAUGGGAUUAGCUAGUAGGUGGGGUAAAGGCUCACCUAGGCGACGAUCCCUAGCUGGUCUGAGAGGUGGACCAGCCAGCCUGGAAAUGAGACACGGUCCAGACGCCUACGGGAGGCAGCAGUGGGGAAUAUUGGACAAUGGGAGCAAGCCGGAUGCAGCCAUGCAGCGGGUAUGAAGAAGGCCUUCGGGUUGUAAAGUACGGUCCGCGGGGAGGCGUUACCCGCAGAGAAAGCACCGGCUAACUCCGUGCCAGCAGCGGCGGUAAUUC